CAGCCGCCGCGGUAAUACGUAGGGUGCGAGCGUUAAUCGGAAUUACUGGGCGUAAAGCGUGCGCAGGCGGUUGUGUAAGACAGGUGUGAAAUCCCCGGGCUUAACCUGGGAACUGCGCUUGUGACUGCACGGCUAGAGUAUGGCAGAGGGGGGUGGAAUUCCACGUGUAGCAGUGAAAUGCGUAGAGAUGUGGAGGAACACCGAUGGCGAAGGCAGCCCCCUGGGCCAAUACUGACGCUCAUGCACGAAAGCGUGGGGAGCAAACAGGAUUAGAUACCCCCGUAGUCCCUGUCUCUUAUAC
rnacentral:rRNA from 1 species